rnacentral:rRNA from 1 species
GAUGAACGCUAGCGGGAGGCCUAACACAUGCAAGCCGAGCGGUAUUGUUUCUUCGGACUUGAGAGAGCGGCGUACGGGUGCGUAACACGUGUGCAACCUGCCUUUAUCUGGGGGAUAGCCUUUCGAAAGGAAGAUUAAUACUCCAUAAUAUAUUGAACGGCAUCGUUUAAUAUUGAAAGCUCCGGCGGAUAGAGAUGGGCACGCGCAAGAUUAGCUAGUUGGUGAGGUACCGGCUCACCAAGGCGAUGAUUUUUAGGGGGCCUGAGAGGGUGGUCCCCCACAGGGGGACUGAGACACGGACCAGACUCCUACGGGAGGCAGCAGUGAGGAAGAUUGGUCAAUGGGUGCAAGCCUGAACCAGCCAACCCGUGUGAAGGACGACUGCCCUAGGGGUUGUAAACUUCUUUUGGAUAGGGAUAAACCUACCCUCGGGAGGGUAGCUGAAGGUACUAUACGAAGAAGCACCGGCUAACUCCGUG